CCUACGGGAGGCAGCAGUGAGGAAUAUUGGUCAAUGGCCGUAAGGCUGAACCAGCCAAGUAGCGUGAGGGAAGACUGCCCUAUGGGUUGUACACCUCUUUUAUGCGGGGAUAAAGGUGUCCACGUGUGGAGGUUUGCAGGUACCGCAUGAAUAAGGCCCGGCUAAUUCCGUGCCAGCAGCCGCGGUAAUACGGAGGGUCCGGGCGUUAUCCGGCUUUAUUGGGUUUAAAGGGAGAGUAGGCCGGUCGUGAAGCGUGCGGUGAAAUUUUGUGGCUCAACCGUGAGAGUGCGGUGCAAACUGGAGACCUUGAGUGCGCGGAAGGCAGGCGGAAUUCGUGGUGUAGCGGUGAAAUGCUUAGAUAUCACGAAGAACCUCGAUUGCGAAGGCAGCUUGCCGCAGCGUUACUGACGCUGAGGCUCGAAAGCGCGGGUAUCGAACAGGAUUAGAUACCCGUGUAGUC
rnacentral:rRNA from 1 species